rnacentral:lncRNA from 1 species
CUUCCGCCUAAUUUUUUUCUUGCGUAGUUUGUUGUUUCAAAAGAUGUCGCUUAGAUAUUUGAAAUAUGAUAUCGUAUAGUUUAUACGCUUUAAAAAAUGACAACCGCGUAACAAAAUACUUAACCUUGUAAGAGUUAUCUCCCCAAACACUGUUUUUCUUGUGGCCACUACUCCUUCGCAACCGUAAAAGAUUACGAAAAAUUUAUUUUACCAAAUUGCUCCUUACAUCUUAAGGAUUAGGAUAUUCAUUUGAACCGAAGCUUUACGGAGACUCCAUAUGAGAGUUAUUCCCCAUUUUCAUUUGAAUUAAGUGAUAUGCAUUUCUAAAUGGUAAACCAUAAGU